AGUUUUCUUUUUUUUUUUUUUUUGCCACAUAUUUUCUUUUGAUCUUCAAAAGUACAUGUUGGCCGAUAAAUUUAACCUUGGCAGCUGGAAAAAAGUGAGGCAAAUGGUUUUGAGAAGAUUGGAAAGUUAAGUUUACCCUUUUGGUUUGGCCUUCUGCUUAUCAAUUGGAUGUCUUUUUUUUUGGCUGCAGUGGAUGUAUUAAUGCAUUUCAAUUGUGGUAUAUAUGCUUACGCGCCAAAUAGCAAAUAGAUGGAUCUUCUUUAGCUGUAGUUUACUAUUAGGGAGGUGCUGCACGGUCAUAUUUAUUUCACAUUGCUUCUGCAUCAGAUUUGGCUAAUCCAAUAUAUAAUCCAUGACGCAGGAUGGCCAACCACCAUUGGGCUG
rnacentral:misc_RNA from 1 species